rnacentral:rRNA from 1 species
GACGAACGCUGGCGGCGUGCUUAGCACAUGCAAGUCGAGCGGUAAGGCCCUUUCGGGGGUACGACGAGCGGCGAACGGGUGAGUAACACGUGGGUGACCUGCCCUCAGCUCUGGGAUAAGCCUGGGAAACGGGUCUAAUACUGGAUAUGACUCCAUGACGCAUGUUGUGGGUGGAAAGCCUUGUGCGGCUGAGGAUGGGCCCGCGGCCUAUCAGCUUGUUGGUGGGGUGAUGGCCUACCAAGGCGACGACGGGUAGCCGGCCUGAGAGGGCGACCGGCCACACUGGGACUGAGACACGGCCCAGACUCCUACGGGAGGCAGCAGUGGGGAAUCUUGCGCAAUGGGCGAAAGCCUGACGCAGCGACGCCGCGUGAGGGAUGACGGCCUCGGUU